GUGGUCACACUGAAAUCUAUGGAUACAGGAAGAUAGGUUUCAGUAAAUGACAAGACCUCACUCUCAGAAUGACAAGGAUCGGAAGAAAACAAGACAACAACAGAAAACAGACUAAGAUAGAGACAAACCAGAGAGAAAGAUGUCUAAUGGAGAUGAAGUGGGGCUUUCAACUAACAGCAAGUAUUAUACUCCUAAAAAUAAAUGAGUGAAUCCAUUUGUUUUCCAACCCAA